rnacentral:rRNA from 1 species
CCCUUAGAUGUUCUGGGCCGCACGCGCGCUACACUGAUGCUUUCAACGAGUUUUUCCCUUGAUAGAGAUGUCUGGGUAAUCUUUUGAAUGAGCAUCGUGCUAGGGAUAGUUUAUUGCAAUUAUUAAACUUGAACGAGGAAUUCCUAGUAAACGCAAGUCAUCAGCUUGCAUUGAUUACGUCCCUGCCCUUUGUACACACCGCCCGUCGCUCCUACCGAUUGAAUGCUCAGGUGAGCCAUUCGGACUUUCAUCAUGCUGGUUUCCAGUUUUGAUGAAGGAAAGUCUUGCGAACCUUAUCAUUUAGAGGAAGGAGAAGUCGUAACA